GACCCCUACUUGAUCUAACCAGAGGAAACCUUAAGAACUUCAACGUUGAAUUUGCAUCUUUAAACAUUUAAAGUGAUACUUUCUGAAUGACACUGAGAUACACAUUUUUUAAAGAUAAAGGCUGGUAAAUAUGGCGGGUAUUAUUCACCAUAUUAAUAACUAUCAUUCGAGUAUGAUUUUUGUCCUGAUUAGUAGUUCAGUUUCUUAAUUAUGGCCUCCAUAACUGGUCUUCCAUGAACUGCAUUGAUGAAGAUGAAUUCUGGAGUUUUGCUUCGUCUUUAAUCAGAGCAAUGAUGCAAAUCCGCACAGUGGCCACAGGGGGCGCUGUGUAACGCCUCAGAGAACCCGGAGGAGACGCACAGGGAAACCGCACAACCUGUUAGCAUCGGGCGGUGCAGAAAAGACCGCUACAGCUGCACGAAUUAUUUUACCCAGACGGCUCUCUACUGCCGGUUGUUUGAUGUCAGUAACCGAGGAGACGGUCAGUGUUGAAGCUGGAGAAUAAUCUGCAGACAGAGAUAAAAUCUAGAACUGAAGCAUCUCCUUCUGAGCCUGGAACAGGAGCAGGAAGCUGCUGGUACCAGCGACAGCUCAGCUGUGUCCUGCAGCAUGUUGUCAUUAAUGAGGUCCCUGUGGGACGCUGUUUAGUAUUCAGGGCUCCAGAUCUGUCCUCGUUUCUUCUCCCCCGAGAGGCCCCGGGUCCCUCUGAGGUCAGGGGCCCCUGAUGUUAAAUGGCCAGCUGCUAUGAAGCAUUAACUGGGGCAACAGUUACCCAAGCACCACAAAGCAGUUUGCUUGAAGAGUCCAACUUAAUCUAAUUACCAUAAAUCAGCCCGAGAUCAAGAGUCUGGAUCAGCCUGCAGGUGUUCUGUAGGGCAGGAGGUGAUAGGUAUUAGUGUUGAUUAUUUUGACCACCUUAUACCGCAAACAGCUGGGAGCAGAACCUGGAAGUAAGUCCAUCUCUACGACAACAAGUGACUUCAUGCUAACAGACAUGCUGCACCGUUACUUUAGAGCAUGCGGUCGGACCCGGUUAAAAUACUAACAUAGAGUCAGACAUCUUUAACGCUAUAAGCCUCAGAGGAUGAGAAAUGACUCUUUGCUGCAGUUAAUGAUGGAAGGUAAAGCACAGCAGGAGUAAGUUUGGAUCAGAACCCGGUUUCCUGAUGCUGCUGCAUGUCUGUUGGGGGACGUGCCUGCAGCAGCUCAGAGCCAUGUGCUGCAGAGGUUAGAUGAGACAAGCGGUACCAGAGCAGAAAGCAAGCUCCAGCAAAGUUGAGCCGUUGGCAUGGCAACCAACAGAGCUGCACCUAAGCAACAGGUGUUCUGGUUUGGAGAACCUCAGCGGUUCUCUUUCUGUGUCCAGAGCUCUGUAGUCACGAAGGAGCUUCCUGGCCCGGCAGGAUGUUGGUACCUAUUGGUACCGGUCUGAAGUCACUGUUUCAUUAAAACACAUUUCUAA